rnacentral:tRNA from 1 species
UGGGGCGUCGUCUAGAUGGCAGGACAGCGGACUUUGACUCCGCGAACCUUGGUUCAAAUCCAAGCGCCCCAACCA